AUGGACUUCUGCAUUCAAAAAACAAAACAAACACAUAAAAUAUUAGCGAAAGUCUCUCAUCUAAUGAGAAGCACAUAGAGCUGAUAAACAUAAAAAUCGAAACUUUAUUUAUCUUUGUUGUUCUCUUUGGGUCACAAUAGACCGGCCCAUUAGCCUAGUCACACCGGCCCAUUAGCCCAGUCAACUCCAUUGUAGAAGAGAGGACUUGAUUUUGGGUGAGAUUGAGAGAGAGAAGAAGAGAAUCGUCAAGUGUUUAUGGUGGUGAAAGUUAUAAGAAUCGUUAAAUUUGACGAAAGGGCACGAGACUAUGCACACCAGUUGCUCGACGAAUUGUCUAACUAAGAAGAUCAGUAUAAAGUUGAAGUUGAUCAAUUUGUGGAGCAUGGAUCCUGAAUAUACCGACGAUUUAUUAAAGUGCGUCUUUGUUUUCAGUUUUACGCUUAUUUUUCGUGUGUGCAUUGCGUAUAAUGAUUUACCGUUGUUAGCACAUCAACAGCCAUUUGGAGAAGCAAACUGAAUUGCUUUUAGAAACUCGUAAAACGAUGACUCAAGAACUCCAAACACUUGAGGUGGAAGAAGAGAUGAUGAUGCGGAAAUUCUAUGAGUUAAUGUCUAGACAGCGCUUAAAUAAGAAGAAAAUGGAGAAGACUCAAAAUGUGUCACAUGGUAAAGAAAUAGUUGAAGUGGAAGAUACUUCUAGUACAUCCAGAGAGUUAAUCGUAUAUGUAAGGAAAAGGAAAAAGAAUCAAAAGCCAACAUAAUGAAGAUAUCCAUUUCUUGUUUAAGUGAUGGAUAUAGUUUUCACAUUGUUUAUGGUGUGCAAUAAUAAGUUGUAUUUUUUGAGUGAUGAAAAUUUAUACGGGUAUGUAGUCAUGAACCUUGUAAGAUGUUCUUGGGGUCAUAAGAGUUUUAUCUGAUCCUGCGAGACGAUAAUUUAAUAACAUUACAAGCAAAAUAUAUCCAUUGAAG
rnacentral:lncRNA from 1 species